rnacentral:rRNA from 1 species
GAGUUUGAUCCUGGCUCAGGAUGAACGCUAGCGGCAGGCUUAAUACAUGCAAGUCAAGGGGCCAGCAAUGGCACCGGCGCACGGGUGCGUAACACGUACACAACAUACCUUUAAGUGGGAGAUAGCAUCGGGAAACUGGUGGUAAUACCCCAUAACAUUGCGAGGUGGCAUUAUCUUGCAAUUAAAGUUACGACGCUUAAAGAUUGGUGUGCGUCCGAUUAGCUAGUUGGCGGGGUAACGGCCCACCAAGGCGACGAUCGGUAGGGGGUCUGAGAGGAUGAUCCCCCACACUGGUACUGAGACACGGACCAGACUCCUACGGGAGGCAGCAGUAAGGAAUAUUGGACAAUGGUCGCAAGACUGAUCCAGCCAUGCCGCGUGCAGGAUGAACGAUCUAUGAUCUGUAAACUGCUUUUGUUCGGGAAUAAACCCCUUCACGUGUGGAGGGCUGAAUGUACCGAAAGAAUAAGGGUCGGCUAACUUCGUGCCAGCAGCCGCGGUAAGACGAAGGACCCAAGCGUUAUCCGGAUUUAUUGGGUUUAAAGGGUGCGUAGGCGGGUUGUUAAGUCAGUGGUGAAAGCCUAGAGCUUAACUCUAGAAUUGCCAUUGAUACUGACGAUCUUGAGGAUAGUUGAGGUGGGCGGAAUGUAUCAUGUAGCGGUGAAAUGCUUAGAGAUGAUACAGAACACCGAUUGCGAAGGCAGCUCACUAAGCUAUUUCUGACGCUGAGGCACGAAAGCGUGGGGAUCAAACAGGAUUAGAUACCCUGGUAGUCCACGCCCUAAACGAUGAUUACUCGAUGUGUGCGAUAUACUGUACGCGUCUAAGCGAAAGCAUUAAGUAAUCCACCUGGGGAGUACGACCGCAAGGUUGAAACUCAAAGGAAUUGACGGGGGCCCGCACAAGCGGAGGAGCAUGUGGUUUA